rnacentral:rRNA from 1 species
CGUAGGGUGCGAGCGUUAAUCGGAAUUACUGGGCGUAAAGCGUGCGCAGGCGGUAAUGUAAGACAGAUGUGAAAUCCCCGGGCUCAACCUGGGACCUGCAUUUGUGACUGCAUUGCUGGAGUGCGGCAGAGGGGGAUGGAAUUCCGCGUGUAGCAGUGAAAUGCGUAGAUAUGCGGAGGAACACCGAUGGCGAAGGCAAUCCCCUGGGCCUGCACUGACGCUCAUGCACGAAAGCGUGGGGAGCAAACAGGAUUAGAUACCCUGGUAGUCCACGCCCUAAACGAUGUCAACUGGUUGUUGGGUCUUUACUGACUCAGUAACGAAGCUAACGCGUGAAGUUGACCGCCUGGGGAGUACGGCCGCAAGGUUG